rnacentral:rRNA from 1 species
UACGAAGGGGGCUAGCGUUGCUCGGAAUGACUGGGCGUAAAGGGCGCGUAGGCGGUUUGUACAGUCAGGUGUGAAAUUCCCGGGCUCAACCUGGGGGCUGCACUUGAUACGUAGGAACUGGAGUGGGGAAGAGGGUCGUGGAAUUCCCAGUGUAGAGGUGAAAUUCGUAGAUAUUGGGAAGAACACCGGUGGCGAAGGCGGCGACCUGGUCCUUGACUGACGCUGAGACGCGAAAGCCAGGGGAGCGAACGGG